GAUGAAGAACGUAGCGAAAUGCGAUAAGUAAUGUGAAUUGCAGAAUUCAGUGAAUCAUCGAAUCUUUGAACGCACAUUGCGCCGGCCAGUAUUCUGGCGAGCAUGCCUGUUCGAGCGUCAUUUCAACCAUCAAGCCCCAGGCUUGUGUUGGAGCCCUGCGGCUGCCGCAGCCUCCCAAAACCAGUGGCGGGCUCGCUAUCACACCGAGUGCAGUAGUUUACUCUUCGCUCAGGGCGUGUGGCGGGUGCUAGCCGUGAAACCCCCAACUUCUCAAGGUUGACCUCGGAUCAGGUAGGAAUACCCGCUGAACUUAAGCAUAUCAAUAAGCGGAGGA
rnacentral:misc_RNA from 1 species